rnacentral:misc_RNA from 1 species
AUGGAUUAGCUUUUGCCAGGUAGUAAUUUUGUUAUUAGUUUUUGUGCAUAUCAUCAGAUGAGUAAUUGAGUUACUAUGUACCAUAGCUUAUCAUGGUUCAUGUUAUCUGUUAUACGUAUAUGUAGUUUGGUUGUUGUUUUGCACUAAGUAGCAUAGCAUGUGUUGGCUAUUUUUAAUCUAAUUAUGCAUCUGUAUAGAUUCUUACAUAGAAUGAGUUUAACAAGCAUCAUUUGAGAACCAUUAUUAGAUUCAGGUUGAUAUUUUGUUACCAUAUUUUAAUAUUCAUUGCUG